rnacentral:rRNA from 1 species
AGUUCGAUUAUGGCUCAGAUUGAACGCUGGCGGGAUGCUUUACACAUGAAGUCGAACGGCAGCACGGACUUCGGUCUGGUGGCGAGUGGCGAACGGGUGAGUAAUGUAUCGGAACGUGCCUAGUAGCGGGGAUAACUACGCGAAAGCGUAGCUAGCGCAUACGCCCUUCGGGGGAAAGCGGGGGACCUUCGGGCCUCGCACUAUUAGAGCGGCCGUCAGGAUUUAGCUGGUGGUGCGGUCAACGGCUCACCAGGGCGACGAUCCGUAGCUGGUUUGAAGGACGACCAGCCACACCCAGGACGCAGGACACGGCCCAGACUCCUACGGAGGCAGCAGUGGGGGAAUUUUGGACAAUGGGGAAACCCUGAUCCAGCCAUCCCGCGUGUGCGAUGAAGGCCUUCGGGUUGUAAAGCACUUUUGGCGAGAAAAACGGCACGGGAUAAUACCCCGUGCAACUGACGGUACCUGCAGGGUGACGCCGGCUAACUACGUGCCGGCAACCGCGGUAAUACGUAGGGUGCAAGCGUUAAUCGGAAUUACUGGGCGUAAAGCGUGCGCAGGCGGUUCGGAAGAAAGAUGCUUGAAAUCCCAGAGCUUAACUUUGGAACUGCAUUUUUAACUACCGAGCUAGAGUGUGUCAGAGGAGGUGGAAUUCCGCGUGUAGCAGUGAAAUGCGUAGAUAUGCGGAGGAACACCGAUGGCGAAGGCAGCCUCCUGGGAUAACACUGAGCGCUCGUACGCGACGUGGGGGCAAACGGGAUUAGAUACCCUGGUAGUCCACGCCCUAAACGUGUCAACUAGCUGUUGGGGCCUUCGGGCCUUGGUAGCGCAACUAACGCGUGAAAGUUGACCGCACAAAGGUACGGUCGCAAAGAUUAAAAAACUCAGGGACCCGCACAAGCGGUGGAUGAUGUGGAUUAAUUCCGUGCAACGCGAAAAACCUUACCUACCCUUGACAUGUCUGGAAUCCCGAGAUUUGGGAGUGCUCGCAAGAGAACCGGAACACAGGUGCUGCAUGGCUGUCGUCAGCUCGUGUCGUGAGAUGUUGGGUUAAGUCCCGCAACGAGCGCAACCCUUGUCGUUAGGUUGCUACGAAAGGGCACUCUAAUGAGACUGCCGGUAUUAAACCGGAGGAAGGUGGGGAUGAUCCAGAAUCCUCAUGGCCCUUAUGAGUAGGGCUUCAAAUGUACAAUGGUCAGGACAGAGGGUCGCCAACCCGCGAGAGACCAAUCAGAAACCCGAUCGUAGUCGGAUCGCAGUCUGCAACUCGACUGCGUGAAGUCGAAGUCGUAAUCGCGAAUCGGCAUGUCGCGGUGAAUACGUUCCCGGGUCUUGUACACACCGCCGUCACACCAUGGGAGUGGGUUUUACCGAAAGUAGUUAGCCUAACCUGGGAGGGCGAUUACCACGGUAGGAUUCAUGACUGGGGUGAAGUCGUAACAAAGGUAG